rnacentral:rRNA from 1 species
UACGGAGGGUGCGAGCGUUGUCCGGAAUCACUGGGCGUAAAGGGCGCGUAGGUGGCGGGGUAAGCGUGCGGUGAAAGCUCGGGGCUCAACCCCGAGUCGGCCGUGCGAACUGCUCUCGCUCGAGCAUUGUAGAGGCAGAUGGAAUUCCGGGUGUAGCGGUGGAAUGCGUAGAGAUCCGGAAGAACACCGGUGGCGAAGGCGGUCUGCUGGGCAAUAGCUGACACUGAGGCGCGACAGCGUGGGGAGCAAACAGG